rnacentral:hammerhead_ribozyme from 1 species
AGUCGAAACAAGCCUCACAAGGCUUGUCGCGUGGAAAUAGUCGCCCACGCCUGAAGAGACAGACUAAG